GAGUGAUUCAACAAAUGUACAAUCAUCAGGAAGGACAAUGAGCGAGUCUGUCGUAGCUGAUGCAUUAUUGAGGCAUAUUUCAGCUGCCAAAGGAAGGGUUAUAACAACCCAGUUUUCAUCUAACAUUAAUUGUCUUGGAAGUGUGAAAGUUGCUGCUGAUUUGACUGGCAGAAAUUUGGUGUUUGCUGGCAUGUUUUUAAUGACAUAUUUGGAUGUAGCUUCGAAGGAUGGAAAGUCUCCAAUUGAUCCAUCCACUUUGGUAAUAAACAUGUGCAUAUAUUUUUUUGUCA